rnacentral:lncRNA from 1 species
UUUCCCUAACUACGUCACUUUUGCUAACUAGUCUGGUGGAAUUAAUACAGAUUCAGGCGGGGAAAAAAUAUGAUUGACGGGAAAAUACAAAAAAUAGCGGUGUUUUUCCGACUGUAGAUUUGAGUUCACGGUGGUUCACGAUAACUUUGAGGUUAGGAUCGUAUCACAACAUUAGUGCUGUUUUGUUUCAGCAUCACAGGCGAUUUUGAUGUCAUCACUCGUGUUUUGUUUGCGUGAUGUCGAGUGAUGUCGAUCAAAAUGGGCGGGGCUUUGCUCGUCCGGUACCCAAAAAACUACCGUAACUACCGUACGGUGAUGUCGAGUGAUGACAUCAGCCGUUGUGGACCUCCGCAGGUCGUCAUCGAGUGAUGUUGGGAUUCUAACCUCAAUUCAAAUUUUGAAUUCCCUUCGAGUUCGAGUUGUUUUGUUUUUCGCGGUGUCCUCAGCACGUGGUUGAUCCGGAACUGACUAUCGAAGCAGUCCCUGAGCCUGGUGCUCCUACUCGCCGCCGCAUGCGUGGCCCAGCAGCAGCAGUCCGCUCAACAAUCGUCUCAAGUGAAGCUUGAGGACAUCGAGCAAGAAUCGAACCAGCGGCCACAAGCACAGAGCGCUCAGGGGUCCCCAAGCCCUGCCCAAGUGCCCCAACUGAGCCCUCAACAGAUCGCCGCCUUCCAACAACAAUACCUCGUCCAGCCCCAACAGUACUUCGCCCCCCAGUUCACGUUCCCUGAAUUCCAGGGCGUGCCCCUCCACUACGUCCCCGCCGGCGCUGCAGGCGCUAACCAACCCAACGUACCCCCCUUCCAGGCUUACUACGUACCCCAGGCCCAGUACCCCCAGGCCCAAUACCCUCAACACGUAGUCCCCGUCGUUCCCCAGGGACAGGAAGCCUUCCGCGGCCCCUUCACUCAGCACUUCAUCCAGCACCCUGCCCCCCAACAAGCAGCCCAAGGCGCUCCUCAAGGCGUUCCUCAGGGACAGCGCACGGUCUCAGUCAUCCCCCGAACAACGCAGUCUACCGCACCAUUCAGCCACCCUUCGGUGCUAACCUCAUCUACACCAACCCACCCGCCCUCCCCCCUCAGAUCAUCUUCACGCAACCCCAGCCUCAGGCCAACUACGCAGUGAACGCCUUCCAGCAGAGACCCAGCAAGGCUCAGUACUCGUCCGGAGUGAAAUCCACUCCUGCAACCCCAACGAAGUCACCUGACUACUCGAACUACGCUCAGACUUCCUCUGCGGCCGCUUCGUCCUCCGCUGCUUCGACCAGCGCCAACGACCAGCAAUACCGAUUCUCAGGUUAGGUCUCCUCCUCAAACCAAAGAACAGCACUACUAUUUAUUGAGUGUCAGUGAUGUCACACAACUUCCGUUGGUCGAGGCUGGAAACGAUUGAGUUCAUUUUCAAAAUAGCAAUACGGUAUUUGAAAAGUUUAAACAUCCGUACUGAAACGUUUUUCUCAAAAUUACAGCGUCAGCAUUCUCCGCUAUCGAAAAACGACUCCGCAGCUAUUUCUUUUCAGUCGUUUGCAAAAUGCGUUAGAUUCAGCUAAAUAAACGUGUUACGUGUAUGAACAGUUCAAACAUUCAAACAUCUGCGCAAUACAAUUUAGGUGUCAUGACACUAGCGUCAUUGCGGGAAGAUCCUAGUUUUAAUAAAUUCAUAGAACAAUUCAAGAGGACGUGUAGAACUUUAAAAUGGAAUAAUUCCAUUAAAUUUAAGUUUCCGAUUAGUUCGAUAUAUGUCUGUUUGUAGCAGAAAGUAGGUUUAAUAAUCUCUAGAAACAGCCUCGACUUAAAAGUUUCAUCCUGGAAUUUCAAUCCGGUGUGAAUUUCAUAUCAUUGUAACGAGUUUUUUCGACAAAAACUUGAUGACUGAUCGCUAAGUAUUGAUUUUUCUCUCACAGAGAGAGAAAAGGCUCACUGCCAUAUUAAUGAUAAUUAUUUAUAACUAUGAUAUUUUGUUGUACAUAUUUAGAUUCGAAUAGGCUUUUGCCGACUUCUCUUACUUGAUGUAAAUACAUAGGUUUCACUCCACCAGAUCAUGAAGCUAGCAGUCCUCAUUUAAGUAAUAUACCUUCGUUGGUUCAUCUUUAUUUGUAAAAAAACGAGAUAAUAGGUUAUCUAUUAUCCUUCAAUCUAUGAACAACUAAAGUGAAAGUUGAUCUGAAAGCUGAUUCAUACGAAGGAAAAUCUAAAAACUGCUUCUCAAGGAAUGUGUUAAUAUUUACCUACCGACAUUUUCUGGAUCCCUUCUUAAAGCAACUUAAAUUAUUCAGAUUUUUUACCAUGUUUUUCAUCUCAGUUACCUGAUGGUUAUUCAUGAUUUCAACUUUCUGAAUAACAGCUAGUCCUUUGAUAUAUUUUCUAUGUAAAUAUCAGUUCAUUAAAAUUGUGUUUCUUGUUUCUAAAGAUGCUCGCUUUCAACAUUAUUUAUUGUCUCUGCCCUAGUCUCUUCUUUCUUCUACUUCGUUUUUUUACAUUUAUUUAUAAGAUAUGAAUAAAUUUGGAGACUACUUGAAACAACAAUAAGCGUGCUCAGUAAUUUUUCAUUCUUGCAUUUUUUAAUAAAAUAGCACAAACAGUUUACAGAGAUUUUCCACGAUUUUGUUAAACAAUUUUGAUCCACUAAAAACGAGUUCAAAGUUGCGUAUUUAAACUCUUACUUAUUUUUUGUGGGUUAAUUGUUUUAAAAAAAUCGAGGAAAUCCCUGUGAUCUAUGUUCGCUUUCCACUUUUCAAAAGUACAAGAAUUAAAAAUUUGAACGAAUAAGCUUAUUGUGUAAGUAACGUACUUCAAAAGUAGUGAAGUUAAUACAAAAACAACGUAAACGCAUUGUGAACCGUCUUAAUUCAACUGCUACGAUGGCUUUUGCGGAUAAUCGAAUUUGCCUGAAUUUCAGAAAAAUCGCACUUUCGUUCUCGAAAAUAUUUCUGGAAAUCUUCUAGUAAUCGCUACAAAUUUAUAAAUAAACGAGUAAGCGCUUUCUAGGUUUUGUAUGAUGAUCAUUAUGCAGCAAUAUGAAUUUAAAAUUAAAGCAAAAUGGAAAACACAGAUUCAUGAUUGAAUCCCAAAAUUAAGAGUGUCAGUUUCCCAAUAAAUGACAUCGCAAACAUUCUGUCAAUUUAUAUGUUCUGUUCGAAAAAUGAUCAAUCUCAUUUGUUGAAUUUCCUUGAUAUUACUUCUCUGGGUGUUGGAUAUUUUAAGAGAUGAGGUCGGCUCGUUUUCAAUGCAAAAAGUACCCAAAAAGGAAUGUAGAAUUGUAAGCACUGCAAUCGAUGUACGUGUUUUCAUACGAUAGCUCGCGAAAUCAUGCUCCAAUUUAGAGAUCAGAAGACUAUUAAUCCCCUCUGCAACCAAAACAAAGUUUUGACUAUAUUCUUCCACUUUUUUCAAAGCCAUAGUGAGUAUUGUCUUACAAUUACGAUGAUUGCAUUCAUAUUUUGAUAAUUUACCUCUAAGAGCAUGAUCCAAAAUAUCAAUAAUUUCCUCAAAAUCCUAUAACCUAAUCCAACUUAAGCCAAAUUGAGAGGGAAACGUUUUGGGAGGGGAGGGAAUCUGCUUGAGAGGAAAAUUACAAGAAAAAAUGCCAAACAAUGGCAUAAAAUCAAGCCAAAUUCCCUUAAAAAGAGUCCAAAUGUCAAGAGCACACGCGAGUAAUUUUUCCCCUAUAUCGUCUUAAAUGAUAUCUCCGAAUUUCUCUUAGUCUUAGGUUAAAAACGUAUGCGUGAAAACCUAUUACUUGACGGGGUACCUAUCGCUCCUUAUAAUAUGUAAAUCGUAGGUGACUGAUUAAUAUUUCUUGUUUGGCGCUGGUGCAAUGGGUUUUUUGCUUCAAAUUUGGGUCAAGAUGGUCGAAAGUAAGUCAAAUCCACAAUUAUUCACCUUAAAUAUCAAAAGGAAAUACACAAUUGAGGGAUAUCGAGGAUGGCAGAGUUUAUGAUGAACCUUGUAAGAAAAGAAAAAAAAGAGAGAAAAAACUCUGCGAAAACCCACCCAUAUUUUGGUCAACGGUUAGAUCAACGGGACUGCGUCUCAUUAAAGCUUUAGAUGUCAAUUCUCCCAGGAAAAUUUAUUAGCUGAAGUUAAGGACAUAAAGCUACAGCAAUUCACCUCUCAACGCGAACCAUUUUAGAAUCUUGCUUCCUCUAAGCUUCUAUCUUCGUUUCUUGUGAUGGUUUUUUCAAAUACACUUUUCCGGCAAAAGACAAAAUCCCUUUCUUAACAAGAAUAGACACACAAAAAAAUAAAUGAAGUAGUUUUGAAGACUCACAAAAAUGCAAAUUUAAAAAAAACACGUCUUGAUAAAUUAUGGAUUUUUACAAGUCUUAAAGUGUUCUACAUGCAAAUUUCUCCCAAUAUGUGCUCAACUAUUAUCGUACUUAAUGGCCUCUGAAGCUAUGUGUGCGAGUUGUCUACUCAAAAAGUUCAAUUUUGGUUUGAACUUUUUCAUCCUGCAUGAAAGGCGCAUUUUUUUAUUCGAAUAUCAUUGAGAAGCGCCAGUUGGCUAGUGUAUAAAUCUCUCGAAAUUUGUACACUUUUUACCAUCAUCUCCUCUAAAUCAUAAAACUUGAAUCGCUCACUUUCUCCGUCAAACCCUCGUCCGAAAUAUUUUUGUGACUUUUGGCGGGCUGAAAUUAUUACGAUGUCCGCUCAAUUCGUGGCGGGGUCGGUUGCGUAAGGCCCCUCGGAUUAUGAAUUACUAAUAAGGAUGAAUUUAAAUGAAUUGAUGUGAUGCUCCAACGAGAAAAACAUUGGUAACUUUCAUCGAAUGCAAAUUGCGGCGUGCGGUCGUCGGCCGCUUGUAAUUUAUGGAAAUGCGCCGAGGAAAGUGGCUCGUAACAAUCAGGAGGUUGACAGGCAGGCGCUAACAAAUUGACCAUUGCUGAGGGAGCUUUUGUGUGGGUGUUAAAUUUAUCAGCCUGCAAUCCAUCAAUGCAUUGUUUCACAAUCAAACUUCCUGCACCGUUCCGUAAAUCUUGCGCGGAACUUUCUGGUGGUAACUAAUACGGAAGUUAACGCGUAUAAUAAUGAAGUAUGUCAUAAGGAAAUACAAUUUAGACUAAUCAUGAACGUAUUUCCGCUUUCAUUUGGAGAUCUGCGUUUCCUAUCUGAAUGGCUCCAUUUACAAAAUUUCAAAAAUUGCUUCUUCCAUCCUUCAGUCCAGGUUACUAAUUAGCCUUUAAUGCAGAAAUCCCCCUUUCAUCACUUUCGUGUAUGCUUAUUUUUUAACAUCAUUCUUGUGCUAGGGACUAUGUUAUACUUGUUUGUUUUUCAAAGAGUGUUUUCUAAAUAAAUGUGUAUUCUUAUAUUUUUAUAAUCAAC